rnacentral:rRNA from 1 species
GACGAACGCUGGCGGCGUGCCUAAUACAUGCAAGUCGUGCGGACCUUGUUGAAAGCUUGCUUUUAAAAAGUUAGCGGCGGACGGGUGAGUAACACGUGGGCAACCUGCCUGUAAGACUGGGAUAACGCCGGGAAACCGGGGCUAAUACCAGAUCGUUUUUUCCUCCGCAUGGAGGAAAAAGGAAAGGCGGCUUCGGCUGCCACUUACAGAUGGGCCCGCGGCGCAUUAGCUAGUUGGCGGGGUAAUGGCCCACCAAGGCAACGAUGCGUAGCCGACCUGAGAGGGUGAUCGGCCACAUUGGGACUGAGACACGGCCCAAACUCCUACGGGAGGCAGCAGUAGGGAAUCUUCCGCAAUGGACGAAAGUCUGACGGAGCAACGCCGCGUGAGUGAAGAAGGCCUUCGGGUCGUAAAACUCUGUUGCCGGGGAAGAACAAGUGCCGUUCGAACAGGGCGGCGCCUUGACGGUACCCGGCCAGAAAGCCACGGCUAACUACGUG